GCGUGACAUUAGCUAGAUGGUAGGGUAACGGCCUACCAUGGCUACGAUGUCUAGGGGUUCUGAGAGGAAGAUCCCCCACACUGGAACUGAGACACGGUCCAGACUCCUACGGGAGGCAGCAGUGAGGAAUAUUGGACAAUGGAUGGAAAUCUGAUCCAGCCAUGCCGCGUGCAGGAAGACUGCCCUAUGGGUUGUAAACUGCUUUUGUAUGGGAGCAAUAAGCCCUUCGUGAAGGGUGAUGAGAGUACCAUACGAAUAAGCAUCGGCUAACUCCGUGCCAGCAGCCGCGGUAAUACGGAGGAUGCAAGCGUUAUCCGGAUUUAUUGGGUUUAAAGGGUGCGUAGGCGGUUGGAUAAGUCAGCGGUGAAAGUUUUCUGCUUAACAGGAAAAAUGCCGUUGAUACUGUCUGGCUAGAAUAUGGUUGCUGUGAGUGGAAUGUGUGGUGUAGCGGUGAAAUGCUUAGAUAUCACACAGAAUAUCGAUUGCGAAGGCAGCUCACAAAGCCAUUAUUGACGCUGAGGCACGAAAGUGUGGGGAUCAAACAGGAUUAGAUACCCUGGUAGUCCACACUGUAAACGAUGAUAACUCGCUGUCGGCGAUACACAGUCGGUGGCCAAGCGAAAGCGAUAA
rnacentral:rRNA from 1 species